rnacentral:rRNA from 1 species
ACUCAAAGGAAUUGACGGGGGCCCGCACAAGCGGUGGAGCAUGUGGUUUAAUUCGAUGCAACGCGCAGAACCUUACCUAGGCUUGACAUGUCUGGAAUCCUGGUGAAAGCCGGGGGUGCCCGCAAGGGAGCCAGAACACAGGUGCUGCAUGGCUGUCGUCAGCUCGUGUCGUGAGAUGUUGGGUUAAGUCCCGCAACGAGCGCAACCCUCGUCCGUAGUUGCCAUCAUUAAGUUGGGCACUCCACGGAGACUGCCGUUGUUAAAACGGAGGAAGGUGGGGAUGACGUCAAGUCCUCAUGGCCCUUAUGCCUAGGGCUACACACGUGCUACAAUGGUCGGUACAAUGCGUCGCCAACCUGCAAGGGGGAGCUAAUCGCAAAAAACCGGCCCCAGUUCAGAUUGGAGUCUGCAACUCGACUCCAUGAAGGUGGAAUCGCUAGUAAUCGGAGAUCAGCACGCUCCGGUGAAUACGUUCCCGGGCCUUGUACACACCGCCCGU